AUUGAACGCUGGCGGCAUGCUUUACACAUGCAAGUCGAACGGCAGCGCGGGCUUCGGCCUGGCGGCGAGUGGCGAACGGGUGAGUAAUACAUCAGAACGUGCCCAGUAGUGGGGGAUAGCUCGGCGAAAGCCGGAUUAAUACCGCAUACGACCUGAGGGUGAAAGCGGGGGAUCUUCGGACCUCGCGCUAUUGGAGCGGCCGAUGGCAGAUUAGCGAGUUGGUGGGGUAAAGGCCUACGAAGGCGACGAUCUGUAGCUGGUCUGAGAGGACGGCCAGCCACACUAGGACUGAGACACGGGCCAUAGUCCUUCGGGAGGCAGCAGAGGGGAAGUUUCGACAGUAGGCGGAAGCCUGAUUCAGCGAUGCCGAGUGUGUGAUGAAGGCCUUCGGGUUGUAAGGCACGUUUGGUGGGAAUGAAAAGGAUUGGGCCAAUAACACGGUUCAAUGACGGUACCCGCAGAAUAAGCACCGGCUAACUACGUG
rnacentral:rRNA from 1 species